rnacentral:tmRNA from 1 species
GGGGGCGACUGGUUUCGACAUGGUAAGUUUGAUACGAGGAGCAGGUCGUGGUCUCCUCGCCACGUUAAACAGGGGUACUGUCAAGUUAAUUGGCAAGAACAACUCUCAGAGCGCUCCGGCGCUCGCCAUGGCUGCUUAAUUGCACCUGGCUGUCGUCCGUGCGAUUUCCCCGACGCGCGGUUCGGCAUCAACUCAGGGGAAUGCCUUCCCGCACGUAGUCGGUAUGGCGGGAAGAAAGACCGAACCGGCUCGGAGCGUCGACGUUGGUCUGCGAACCGCAGCGCUCCUAAAUCCUGAUCGCUGACUAAGCUUGUAGAGCCUCGUGGAGAAUUUAGUAUGGACCGGAGUUCGAUUCUCCGCGCCUCCACCA